rnacentral:rRNA from 1 species
GGAUGGACCUAUGGCGCAUUAGCUAGUUGGCGGGGCAACGGCCCACCAAGGCAACGAUGCGUAGCCGGCCUGAGAGGGCGGACGGCCACAUUGGGACUGAGACACGGCCCAGACUCCUACGGGAGGCAGCAGUGAGGAGUAUUGGUCAAUGGGCGAGAGCCUGAACCAGCCAAGUAGCGUGCAGGAAGACGGCCCUAUGGGUUGUAAACUGCUUUUAUAAGGGAAUAAAGUGAGUCUCGUGAGACUUUUUGCAUGUACCUUAUGAAUAAGGACCGGCUAAUUCCGUGCCAGCAGCCGCGGUAAUACGGAAGGUCCGGGCGUUAUCCGGAUUUAUUGGGUUUAAAGGGAGCGUAGGCCGGAGAUUAAGCGUGUUGUGAAAUGUAGACGCUCAACGUCUGCACUGCAGCGCGAACUGGUUUCCUUGAGUACGCACAAAGUGGGCGGAAUUCGUGGUGUAGCGGUGAAAUGCUUAGAUAUCACGAAGAACACCGAUUGCGAAGGCAGCUCACUGGAGCGCAACUGACGCUGAAGCUCGAAAGUGCGGGUAUCGAACAGGAUUAGAUACCCUGGUAGUCCGCACGGUAAACGAUGGAUGCCCGCUGUUGGUCUGAAUAGGUCAGCGGCCAAGCGAAAGCAUUAAGCAUCCCACCUGGGGAGUACGCCGGCAACGGUGAAACUCAAAGGAAUUGACGGGGGCCCGCACAAGCGGAGGAACAUGUGGUUUAAUUCGAUGAUACGCGAGGAACCUUACCCGGGCUUGAAUUGCAGAGGAAGGAUUUGGAGACAAUGACGCCCUUCGGGGCCUCUGUGAAGGUGCUGCAUGGUUGUCGUCAGCUCGUGCCGUGAGGUGUCGGCUUAAGUGCCAUAACGAGCGCAACCCCUCUCCUUAGUUGCCAUCAGGUGAAGCUGGGCACUCUGGGGACACUGCCACCGUAAGGUGUGAGGAAGGUGGGGAUGACGUCAAAUCAGCACGGCCCUUACGUCCGGGGCUACACACGUGUUACAAUGGCAGGUACAGAGAGAUGGUGUUCUGCAAAGCGCAUCUAAUCCUUAAAGCCUGUCUCAGUUCGGACUGGGGUCUGCAACUCGACUACAUGAAGCUGGAAUCGCUAGUAAUCGCAGAUCAGAAUGCUGCGGUGAAUACGUUCCCGGGUCUUGUACUCACCGCCCGUCAAG